CAAACCUGACUUCCAGAUGUCAGAGGAAGAAGAUUCUAUUCCAAAUGUUAAAAGAUCUCUAAAAAGGAAACUGGUGAAACACAGCACUCCAGUGAACUCAACGUUCUCAAGAAAAACACUGUCUCCCUCAGGUCCAAUGAAUUGGUCAGUUAAGGACCAAGAUAUCAGUAAGAGAUCUUAUGUAUCCCCAGUGCCAAAAUCAACUCUAGGAAGAUCAGUAGCUCAACCAUCACUAGCAAGUGUUGAAACAUACUUCCCUUAUAUGUCUCCAAAGAGGUUUUCAUCAGUAUUUGACUUGCAAGAUUCCAGCAGAGAGAUAAGCCAAAGUUCUCGAGUUGUGUAUUCUAGAAGACGACUUUCCACUGUGUUGGCAUCUGAUGAAUCAAAUGAAGAGGCAACUGAGAAGGCUGUCUCAAGUGUGGAAACUCAAACUCCCACAGAAGCGUCUGAAAAGUCUGCAGUAACUCCCAAGAGUGGAUCUUCACAGUUUUUUGGAAUACCAGGAAUAAAAGAUCCUCCAGUGUUGAAAAAGAAGAAAAUUGAUAAAGCUAUUGUGAGAAAGAAACAAAGAGAAUGGGUGCUUCGCCAACUUAAAAACAUUGAGGAAGCAACUAAACAUGAAUUAACAAUUGAAGAAGCUUGAUUAAGCAUGUUUGAAAAUAACGCGCUUCGUGCUUAUUUUGUGAGUAGCAGAUUCCAAUAAAGUGCACAUCUGACUAAUCUGCA
rnacentral:lncRNA from 1 species